rnacentral:rRNA from 1 species
GAGUUUGAUCCUGGCUCAGAUUGAACGCUGGCGGCAUGCCUUACACAUGCAAGUCGAACGGCAGCACGGGAGCUUGCUCCUGGUGGCGAGUGGCGAACGGGUGAGUAAUGCAUCGGAACGUAUCCUGGAGUGGGGGAUAACGUAGCGAAAGUUACGCUAAUACCGCAUAUUCUGUGAGCAGGAAAGCGGGGGACCUUCGGGCCUCGCGCUCUUGGAGCGGCCGAUGUCGGAUUAGCUAGUUGGUGAGGUAAAGGCUCACCAAGGCGACGAUCCGUAGCAGGUCUGAGAGGAUGAUCAGUCACACUGGAACUGAGACACGGGUCCAGACUCCUACGGGAGGCAGCAGUGGGGAAUAUUGGACAAUGGGCGAAAGCCUGAUCCAGCCAUGCCGCGUGUGUGAAAGAAGGUCUUCGGAUUGUAAAGCACUUUAAGUU